rnacentral:rRNA from 1 species
CUACGGGAGGCACCAGUCGGGAAAAUUUUGCAAUGCUCGAAAGAGUGACAAAGUAAGCUGGAGUGUUUCUCGUUAGAGAGACUUUUGUCUACUGUAAAAAAGUAGAUGAAUAAGGACCGGGCAAGACUGGUGCCAGCCGCCGCGGUAAUACCAGCGGUCCGAGUCGCAGCCACAUUUAUUGGGUCUAAAACAUCCGUAGCCGGCUUUGUAAGUUUCUUGUGAAAUCCUGUCUCUUAAGGAUAGGGCGUGCAAGAAAUACUGCAUUGCUAGAGACCGGAAGACGUAAGGAGUACGACCAAGGUAGUGGUAAAAUACGUUGAUCUUGGUCGGACUAACAAGAGCGAAGGCACCUUACGAGGACGGAUCUGACGGUGAGGGAUGAAGGCUAGGGGCGCAAAAUGGAUUAGAUACCCGCGUAGUC